rnacentral:RNase_P_RNA from 1 species
CCAGUCGGCCGGACGGCCGCUCCCGCAAGAGCUCAGGUUCUUUCGGGGGAGGAAAGUCCGGGCUCCACGGAAACACGGUGCCGGAUAACGUCCGGCGGGGGCGACCCCAGGGAAAGCGCCACAGAGAUCGAACCGCCUCGCGCCGGGAGCUUCGGCUUUCUUCGCGCGGUAAGGGUGAAAAGGUGCGGUAAGAGCGCACCGCGGACCCGGCAACGGGGACGGCAUGGCAAGCCCCACCGGGAGCAAAACCGAAUAGGGACGAUGCUCGCCCGCAAGGGAGGAGGGGCCGGUUUCCAGGUCCAGUCGUCCGGGUUGGUUGCUCGAGGCGCGCAGUGAUGUGCGUCCCAGAGGAAUGGCCGUCACGUCGGGGGAGCAAUCUCUCGGCCGUCCAGAACCCGGCUUACAGGCCGGCUGGCACC